rnacentral:tRNA from 1 species
UGGGGGGUAGUUAAACAGGUAAAACAUCAGAAUUUGACUCUGAAGUUGUGGGUUCGGGUCCCACCCCCCCAA